GACGAACGCUGGCGGCGUGCCUAAUACAUGCAAGUCGAGCGGACUUAAAAAGCUUGCUUUUUAAGUUAGCGGCGGACGGGUGAGUAACACGUGGGCAACCUGCCUGUAAGACUGGGAUAACUUCGGGAAACCGGAGCUAAUACCGGAUAAUUCUUUCCUACUCAUGUAGGAAAGCUGAAAGACGGUUUACGCUGUCACUUACAGAUGGGCCCGCGGCGCAUUAGCUAGUUGGUGAGGUAACGGCUCACCAAGGCGACGAUGCGUAGCCGACCUGAGAGGGUGAUCGGCCACACUGGGACUGUGACACGGCCCAGACUCCUACGGGAGGCAGCAGUAGGGAAUCUUCGGCAAUGGACGAAAGUCUGACGGAGCAACGCCGCGUGAGUGAUGAAGGUUUUCGGAUCGUAAAACUCUGUUGUUAGGGAAGAACAAGUACGAGAGUAACUGCUCGUACCUUGACGGUACCUAACCAGAAAGCCACGGCUAACUACGUGCCAGCCGCCGCAGUAAUAC
rnacentral:rRNA from 1 species